rnacentral:lncRNA from 1 species
UUCACUCCCGUUGUUUGGCAAGUGGGAGGAAGUGUCACAGCUCUUUUAUUUCUGCCACCCACAGCUUGGUGAGUAGGAGCAUUACAGCUCUUUUGCUCCCACAGUUCAGCAAAUUCUGAGUUCCUGUCCCAUGACCAAGAGGAAUGAGGAACAUGGACACCGGAGAAUGAGUAAGGCAGAGUAGAAUUUUAUUCAUCAGCGAGAGGGGACCUGAAAGCAGGUCGCCAUCUGUGAGGAUUAAAGUUAGGACCAAAUGCUGCUCAGAAAUUGUUUUAAUCUCAAAAGUAGUUGGCAAGUUUUCAGAGUUCAUUUUCAAGGCCUGGUGUAUGUGAAACAACUGAACAUUCAGAGCUAUUUCAUUUUCAAAGAUUCUCACAUAUGAUUAUGUACACUAAGUUCAAGGACUGACGUCCUUAUAAAAAGAGAGGGUACACACACAGCCAACAGAGAGAAGAAGGUCAUACGAAGACACGCAGAAUUUGGACUUAUGCGGUCACAAGUCAAGGAGUGCUUGGAGCUACCGGGAGAUGGAAGAGUCAAGGCAGGAUUUUCCCUGGAAGAUUUGGAAGGAACAUAUUUCUCCUGAAACCUUGAUUCUAGCCUUCACUAAUGACAGAGAAUAAAUUUCUGUUCUUUUAAGCCACUCAGUUUGUGGUACUUUGUCUUACAGAAACCCUGGGACACUAAUAAAUUUCCUAAGUGGUAUACAUAACAUCUUCUAACAUUAUGAUUCUAUGGAAUGCUUUGAUAAUCAGCUAAAAGUUAUCGGCUGUCUCCCAGGAAAGAUGCACAAACAUACAUAUUCAACAUUUUGUGUUCAAUUUUUCAAGUUUCCAGGAUUUCCAGGGCCUCUCUACAGAUCCUCUUCGUAUCUACACAGCUGAUUGUGAACUCUGUUCUUAUACAAUGUAUCCAAAGUAAAUUAACUACAAUACAACUGUGAUUAUGCCAUUCCAAAUUAUAAAUAUUAACAUCCUUUCUGAACUACAAGACCCUCUACAGUAUGACUGCAUUUGUACAUACUGCAGCUCUCCUGCUGAACCAUCCUUUGUUCUUAUCAUACCAAACACAUACGUUUCCAGGACACACUAUGCCUCUGUGCCUUUGCACAUGCUAUGCGCUGCCUGGGACUCCCUAACUUCCAUCUGCACAUAACCUUCUAAUGAAUUUCCAGGCAUUCUGGAAGUUUUAUAUCACUCAUUUUAUCUAUGAAUCAAAUGAUCUCACUGACAAAGUAUUAUGUUGCUUUUACAACAUGAUUCAAGUCCUUGACUGUGACGUAUUCCUGAAAUACAAGGUGCUUUAUUUUGAGUGUAAGAAAAUUUUAAUUAUAAUAUUAUAUUGUAAUAUGUGGUUUAAAUUUCUAUAUGCAUGCAUCAUAUUUCCAAUUUCUUACAGAAAAGAAUUAUUAUAAUUGUAUAAUAUAUAAUGUAUAACACUAAAUAUACUAUAGUAUUAAAACUAUAGGCUUUUAUUUCAAUUGGUGAAGAUUAAAAUCUUAGAAUCAUGAUCUGUGGGCAUUCUGACCUUGACUAAAUGCAUACACUUUAUGUAUCUAAGCUUUCUUCACUGUAAACUGGUAAAAAUGCACUUAAUUCAAAAAAUUGUGAGGAUCAAAGUAAAGUCUAAAACUUUAGUACGGC